rnacentral:rRNA from 1 species
AUUGAACGCUGGCGGCAGGCCUAACACAUGCAAGUCGAGCGAGCGGCGGACGGGUGAGUAAUGUCUGGGAAACUGCCUGAUGGAGGGGGAUAACUACUGGAAACGGUAGCUAAUACCGCAUCCCAUCAGAUGUGCCCAAAUGGGAUUAGCUGGUAGGUGGGGUAACGGCUCACCUGGGCGACGAUCCCUAGCUGGUCUGAGAGGAUGCCCAGCAACACUGGAACUGAGACACGGGCAAGACCCCUACGGGAGGCAGCAGUGGGGAAUAUUGCACAGUGGGCGCAAGCCUGAUGCAGCCAUGCCGCGUGUGUGAAGAAGGCCUUCGGGUUGUAAAGCACUUUCAGCGGGGAGGCGUUACCCGCAGAAGAAGCACCGGCUAACUCCGUGCCAGCCGCCGCGGUAAUAC